ACAUCCUUAUCACUCAGGAAAUUCCAGGAAUUUUUGAAGCUCUGUGCCAGGAACCAAGGACUAAGACCAAAUAUAUUUUUAUUUUUAUUUAUUAUUUAUUUAUUUAUUUAUUUUUUGAGAUGGAGUUUCGCUCUUGUUGCCCAGGCUGGAGUGCAAUGGUGAGAUCUCUGCUCACUGCAACCUCCACCUCCCAGGUUCAAGGGAUUCUUGUGCCUCAGCCUCCUGAGUAGCUGAGAUUACAGGCACCCACCACCACGUCCGGCUAAGUUGUUGUUUUUUGUUUUUGUUCUUGUUUUUUUGAGAGAUGGAGUCUUGAUCUGUCACCCAGGCUGGAGUGGAGUGGCGGUAUCUCGGCUCACUGCAACCUCCACCUCCCGGGUUUGAGCGAUUCUCCUGCCUCAGCUUCCCAAGUAGCUGGGACCACAGACGUUUGCCACCACUCCCAGUUAAUUUUUGUAUUUUUUUAGUAGAGUUGGGGUUUCACUAUAUGUUGGCCAGCCUGGUCUCAAACUCCUGACCUCAGGUGAUCUGCCCACCUCGGCCUCCCAAAGUGUUGGGAUUAUAGGCGUGAGCCACCGUGCCUGGCCAAUUUUUUGUAUUUUUUUGUAGAGACGGGGUUUCACCAUGUUGGCCAGGCUGGUCUUGAAUUCCUGGCCUCAGGUUAUCCGCCUGCCUGAGCCUCCCAAAGUGCUGGAUUACAGGCAUGACCCACCAAACCCAGCCCAAAUAUAUUUGCAUAUAUAUAUAUUUUAAUAUCCCACGCCUACACUCUGGGAUAACUCAGCUCUUACAGGCAGUAAUCAUGGGUCAGACCUGCCAUUAUCCAGUUCAGCCCAUUUCAUUUGACAGACACCUGGUGAAUAGAGACAUGCAGGGACUCUUGUCCACAUUUGCCCAGUUGGCUGAUAGCACAGUGUACAAAGUCUGUCUGCAGCAGGUCAUAAUUUCACAGCUCUGCCACAUGCAUGUAUAUCACUGUACCAAGCGUGUUCACAUGGUAUGGUGCUGACACAUGUUGACGGAAUGUGGUACAGACCCUCUGUGUGAAGUGUGUUCACACAGUGCGGUGCUGACCCUCUGUAUGAAGCGUGUUCACACGGUGCGGUGCUGACCCUCUGUAUGAAGCAUGUUCACACAAUGCGGUGCUGAUCUUCUGUAUGAAGCAUGUUCACAUGGUGCAGUACUGACUCUCUGUUUGAAGUGUGUUCACAUGGUGCAUCUCUGUAUGAAGUGUGUUCACACGGUGCGGUGCUGACUCUCUGUAUGAAGCGUGUUCACACAGUGCGGUGCUGACUCUCUGUAUGAAGCAUGUUCACACGGUGCGGUGCUGACUCUCUGUAUGAAGUGUGUUCACCUGGUGCAGUACAGGCUCUCUGCAUGAAGCAUGUUCACACAGUGCGGUGCUGACCCUCUGUAUGAAGCGUGUUCACACAGUGCAUGUGAAACCAGAACCGACAGUCGAACCCAAGCAGAAGUCUUGACCAAGCACUUCCCUCCUGGGAAUGCACCAUGAUAUCACCACACCGAAGUCCAGGCUGGCAAACAGGGAUGUACACGCAGGGGAGACGAGAACUUCUCCCGUGAGAAACAGCACAGUCCAGCCAUAUGAA
rnacentral:lncRNA from 1 species